CAUCAUCUGUCUUGCUUGCUGUUGGACUGGAAGCAGCCAAAGAGGACCACAGGAUUACAUUGUUAAGGCUAUAACGAGAAUGGAGUAAGUUUGUACCAUAGCCCAUGGUAUGUCAUGAGUAUGGAUUUAUCUCAUUCCAGUUUUCUGCUCCCAGCACAAUACUAGUCAUGAGAAAAAGGCAUUUGCUGCUUGAACAACUCCCACAGUUGACAUUUAACAAAAGAGACCUCAACAAGAGACACCUUGAAGAUGACUCUUUUGUAAUUUGCCAGUACUUAUGUCUUUCUUCAGAAGGACUGUGACUAAAUAUGACUUGACAGUGCAGCUGUUUAGAGACACCUCAAGAUGAUCCUCUCCUGACAUGACUGACAGGAAGAGCCUUAACCACCAGGAUGUUUGGAUGCAGGGACACUGUCCUGGAGCUAAGCCACCUUUUUUGAAGGAAGUUUCACACAAACAGCUCCAUUUCUGUGAAACAUUUCACUUUGGAUAAGUAAGUAUUUUCGGUUCAAUUCCCAGGAAUAUAGUUGAGAGAGGUAGUUAGCCAUGUUAGUCUGAAGUCAGGCAGAAGGCAUAGCAUCUUAUAAAGUAGGGUGAUGCUUACAAAGCUUAUGCUUUUCUGAACAAGUUUGUUUCUAAGGUGCUACCUGACCUGACUUCCACCAGAGUUCUGGUUGAAAUGGUCCCGGGAGGCCAAAGAGCUUACUGUUAAUCCUCAGUUCAGUUAGUCCAGUUAUUUAACUCUCUCUUCUUUUGCUUUUAUGCUGUACAUUGAAAUGUAUUUAUCAUUAGCUGCUUUCAUAUAAGCAUAUUAUUAUAUGAAACAUAUAAGAAGCUUUACCUGAGAGGCCGGGAUCCUUACUCUGCUUCUCAAACUGGUCUGUCCCCUUGGCUUACACAUUCCCCUUCUCUCUGUCUUUAUUCUCAUCCUAUUCUGCCAUCUAGCUGCUACUGUCUGCUGUACUUCUUGUUCCUUUCUGGCUAUUAAAACUUUAGUUGUCUCCUCCCUUCAGGCUCAAAGCCACUUAAUUGAACAAAAACUGAUUGAAUGUAGCCUUGUUGCAAGGACAAGGUUUAUUUGAGCACAACCCUUGUCUGUACACAGCAAAGACUCUGAAUUUCCUAUUCAUUCAGAAAAAAGUCUGGUGGACAAAUAGUUGAUACAAACAACUGACAUGGCUUAAUAGGCCUCCUGGGGCUUAAGCAGUCCAUAUAGUUAGAUGAGACAUCUCUUAAGACAAAGACAGCUGCUGGGAGAUGGGUCAACGCAAGCUACCUCCUUUCCAAGAUCAGGUCUACACUAAAACGUUUUGCUGACAUAGCUGCGUCAGCUCACAGUGCAUCUACCAGUCAGCAUAGCUCUGCUGGUAAAAGUCCUUGUGAUGGUUGGCUGAUCUCAACCAGAGAAGUGUAGCAAUGCCAGCAUCUGCGGUGUCUCCUGUAGGGGUCUCAGAUUGGUAUUUUGGCAGAGGCCCAUUCUGUAGACAAGCCCAAAAUACUGUCAUACCAAGAGGGUUCCUGAUUUGCACACUUGUGUUCCUCAAUACAUAUUGUCUAGCACGGUGCUUCCAAACUGUCAUAAGCUGUUUACUUCUGAGUGUGCUUUCAGCUGAAAUGACUGGCACAGAUUUGUUUAAAAAUGAAACCCUUCUCUAUCUGUCAUUCUCCUGUAAUCUGUAGAAUGGACUGGUAGUACACGCAUGUGAUGUAUACAGCUGGUAGGUUUUGCUGGGCUAGUAACAAGCUCCAGUUAGUGACUUCCAGUUUCAUUUGGGUGUUUUAAGCCCCAGGCAUGUGUUCUUUUAAUAGCAGGAUGGGAUCUGAUCCCCAAUCCCCCAACAAUUGUGCCCACUGUCAUGUCACAUGUAUGGCAGAAGGCAUGAUUUUGGGAUCAGGGAUCAGAUCCCAAUCACACCCUUUCCACUUGCCAGUGAAGGAGGAUUAUGAUCCUAGGCUCUCCCUGUACUGGUAGGUUGAAAGCCAGGUGCACACCAUCUGGUUUGAGACCUGAGGCUGUCUAACCCUGACCCAACAAGCAGCUGAUUGUUGGUGAGCCCUGGGGUUUGAGAAAAAGUUGCAAUUUGUAGAUGUCCCAGCGUACCCCUCUCUCCCUUCUGCCGGAGCUACAGGGCAAAGCAGAAAAAGUUGCUAAGUAAGAAGGUUGCCAGGAACUCUAGAAAGCUAGUAACCCACUCCCCCGAGCAGCACAUUUUUGGCAUUGGGACAGGGGCUGUCCUGAUGCUGCCCUCCUUCCCAAUGCUGGUGCUGACAAUCAGUGGAUUGUCAAUACUGGCAUGGGGAUGUUACAUGUCAAUUUAUGGCACCAUACAAAUGAGCAAUAAAUAUGUUCCACAUAUUUUGUGGAACAUCUUUGUGGCUGGUUUGCCACUUUAUGGCACCAUACAUUGGCUGAACAUUUACUGUUACUAUUUAUGGUGCAAGUAACAUGCUAAUUGCACCACAAAUGUAACAUGUGCCAGGCAGACAAGGUUCUUUGGGUGAACAGACUUCAUUCCAUCCAGGAAGAGUACGCACCAACUGCAGAGACUUCCUCAGCCUGAUGAAGGGUUUUUAAACCCGAAAGCUUGCUAUAAAAUUUUUUUCCAACUUUAAGUUGGUCUAAUAAAAGAGAUCAUAUUCACCCAAAGAACCCUGUCUGCCUAUGUCCUGAGACCAACACAGCUACAACCUACACCCCUAUAACAUGCACCAGGGACUUUUGAGUUGUAGUAUUAGAUAUUUGCUUAUCAAAAAUGUUUGCUGUUGUUCUGUCAGAUUUGUGGGUCAAAGAAAGCCGUGUUUUGGCUCUGCAUGAAGGGAAAGAAAAUAAGGAAUGUUAAUUAUUUUGCCUUGUGUAUAAAAGAAUAUAGGAUGUGCCUCUAAAAACAGAAAUGUUUGAUUAAACUACACCUUUGCUCCUCCUUCUCCAGGUAUCUUAUGGGGAGGGACAGACUGAUAUAUAAGUACCAUUGUGUGCGUCUGCUGAUGUCUACAGGUAGAUUCAGAAGCAGGAAUCUGCCAAUAAUGAGCAACUUUAACAUUCAAAUUGCACUAACAUCCACGUGCACUAGGACAUUCCUUUGAAAUAGGAUGUGCCAUAACAUUGGCCAGUGUACAAUUUGUUGUGCAAAUGUGUGGGGCUUUGGUCAAGAGAGAUGCAGCCCUAGCCUAGUUCCCACAGGCAAGCCUGAUUUCCUUACUAGGUUUUUGGCUGUAGCUGUGUUGAUCUAAGGACAUAGGCAGGUAAGGUAGAUGUGAGUAGAUGUGAGCUGUUUUAUUAGACCAUCUGAGUAGUUGAAAAAAAGUUCUUAGCAAGCUUUCAGGCAUAGUCACCCUUCUUCAAGCAUAGGGGGGUCUCUGCUGAUCUCCUUACAAGACUUUCAGAUUCUUUUUUCACUUCUGGGUGGAUAAACAGCUGGAAAAAAAACUCUGACCCUCAUAAAAUUGAUAGCAUUGACUGAGUUUGAGCUUGCUUAUUGAGUAUUCCCAAGAGCCACUGAAUAAAUAUAUUAAAAAAUAUUGCACUAUUAAAACUUACGAAUCUUUGCUGACAGAGAACAUGCAUCUCUCCCAGCUCAGUAGUAGUUGUUGAGGCAGGAGCUCUGGAGUCCUGGCCAGAGCUGCUGCUUUUACCAGACUGGGCUAGGGCAGCUAUGUGCUCUGGGCCCGGAUGGGAGUAAGGCCACAGCUGGAAGGUAAGUGAUGGGGUGGGGGGAGAUGAGGCUGCAGGGGAGGGAGACAGUGGGAGGGGAAGACAGGCUGGAGCAGAAGUGGCUGGAAGCAAGGGUGGCCAGUCCUAUGGAGCAGGCAGUGUGUGGAGGGUGGGCACCAGGAGCUGCAGGCACGGAGAGAGGCAGGCAGCUGUGUGGGGGCGAGGGCAAGUGACAGAUGCAGCGUUGCCCACUCUCAUAAUUUUUGGUGUUUUUAAAGUCUACGGUUUGGGAAUGUGAAAACCUUAGCUCUUUCUUUUAUCUAUCUAUAUAAAUAUAGGUAAAAGAAAGAACUACAUUUUUCACAUUCCUGAAGACUUUUAAGAACAGCACCCAAAAUCAUGAGUUGGCGGGGGAGGGGGGGACAGCUGGCAGGGGGCAAGGUGCUGAAGGGCAAGAGGCAAG